rnacentral:rRNA from 1 species
CCUACGGGAGGCAGCAGUGGGGAAUCUUGCACAAUGGGGGAAACCCUGAUGCAGCGACGCCGCGUGAGUGAAGAAGUAUUUCGGUACGUAAAGCUCUAUCAGCAGGGAAGAAAAUGACGGUACCUGACUAAGAAGCCUCGGCUAACUACGUGCCAGCAGCCGCGGUAAUACGUAGGGGGCAAGCGUUAUCCGGAUUUACUGGGUGUAACGGGAGCGUAGACGGCCAGACAAGUCAGAAGUGAAAGCCCAGGGCUCAACCCUGGGACUGCUUUUGAAACUGCCGGGCUGGAGUGCAGGAGAGGUAAGCGGAAUUCCUAGUGUAGCGGUGGAAUGCGUAGAUAUUAGGAGGAACACCAGUGGCGAAGGCGGCUUACUGGACUGUAACUGACGUUGAGGCUCGAAAGCGUGGGGAGCAAACAGGAUUAGAUACCCCAGUAGUC